AGAGUUUGAUUAUGGCUCAGAGCGAACGUUAGCGGCACGCUUAACACAUGCAAGUCGCACGAGAGUAGGGGCAACCCUAUGAAAGUGGCGCACGGGUGCGUAACACGUAGAUAAUCUGCCCUUUGGAGGGGGAUAACGUUCCGAAAGGAGCGCUAAUACCGCAUAAAGCUGUUCUCGGUUAGCUGAGGACAGGCAAAGGCUGGGACCGAAAGGCCAGUCGCCGAAGGAGGAGUCUGCGGCCCAUCAGCUAGUUGGUAAGGUAACGGCUUACCAAGGCAAAGACGGGUAGCUGGUCUGAGAGGAUGAUCAGCCACACUGGUACUGGAACACGGACCAGACUCCUACGGGAGGCAGCAGUGGGGAAUCUUGGUCAAUGGGCGAAAGCCUGAACCAGCGAUGCCGCGUGAGUGAUGAAGGCCUUCGGGUUGUAAAGCGCUGUCGAGGGGGAGGAAGACCGUAAAAUCGGUUUGACCUAUCCCUGGAGGAAGCACGGGCUAAGUUCGUGCCAGCAGCCGCGGUAA
rnacentral:rRNA from 1 species